rnacentral:rRNA from 1 species
GUGCCAGCCGCCGCGGUAAAACCAGCACCUCAAGUGGUCAGGAGGAUUAUUGGGCCUAAAGCAUCCGUAGCCUGUUCUGUAAGUUUUCGGUUAAAUCCAUUAGCUCAACUAAUGGGCCGCCGAAAAUACUGCAGAACUAGGGAGUGGGAGAGGUAGACGGUACUCGGUAGGAAGGGGUAAAAUCCUUUGAUCUAUUGAUGACCACCUGUGGCGAAGGCGGUCUACCAGAACACGUUCGACGGUGAGGGAUGAAAGCUGGGGGAGCAAACCGGAUUAGAUACCCGGGUAGUCCCAGCUGUAAACGAUGCAGACUCGGUGAUGCGCUGGCUUGUGGCCAGUGCAGUGCCGCAGGGAAGCCGUUAAGUUUGCCGCCUGGGAAGUACGUACGCAAGUAUGAAACUUAAAGGAAUUGGCGGGGGAGCACCACAAGGGGUGAAGCCUGCGGUUCAAUUGGAGUCAACGCCAGAAAUCUUACCCGAAGAGACAGCAGAAUGAAGGUCAAGCUGGAGACUUUACCAGACAAGCUGAGAAGUGGUGCAUGGCCGUCGCCAGCUCGUGCCGUGAGAUGUCCUGUUAAGUCAGGUAACGAGCGAGAUCCCUGCCUCUAGUUGCCACCAUUACUCUCCGGAGUAGUGGGGCGAAUUAGCGGGACCGCCGCAGUUAAUGCGGAGGAAGGAAGGGGCCACGGCAGGUCAGUAUGCCCUGAAACUUUGGGGCCACACGCGGGCUGCAAUGGUAGCGACAAUGGGUUCCGAAUCCGAAAGGUGGAGGUAAUCCUCAAACGCUACCACAGUUAUGAUUGAGGGCUGCAACUCGUCCUCAUGAAUAUGGAAUCCCUAGUAACUGCGUGUCAUUAUCGCGCAGUGAAUACGUCCCUGCUCCUUGCACACACUGCCCGUC